UACGGACUGUGCAAACGUUAUUCGGAAUCACUGGGCUUAAAGAGUCCGUAGGCGGCAUGUUAGGUGAGGUGUGAAAUCCCCCGGCUCAACCGAGGAAUUGCGCUUCAAACCGGCGUGCUUGAGGAAGAUAGAGGUGGGCGGAACUGAUGGUGGAGCGGUGAAAUGCGUUGAUAUCAUCAGGAACACCGGAGGCGAAGGCGGCCCACUGGGUCUUUUCUGACGCUGAGGGACGAAAGCUAGGGGAGCGAACGGG
rnacentral:rRNA from 1 species